rnacentral:siRNA from 1 species
CCACAUUAUGUUCUUGAUGCUCUC